AGAGUUUGAUCCUGGCUCAGAUUGAACGCUGGCGGCAUGCCUUACACAUGCAAGUCGAACGGCAGCACGGGGGCAACCCUGGUGGCGAGUGGCGAACGGGUGAGUAAUAUAUCGGAACGUGCCCUGGAGUGGGGGAUAACUAGUCGAAAGAUUAGCUAAUACCGCAUACGAUCUACGGAUGAAAGUGGGGGACCCGCAAGGGCCUCAUGCUCCUGGAGCGGCCGAUAUCUGAUUAGCUAGUUGGUGAGGUAAAGGCUCACCAAGGUAUCUAUCAUUAGCUGGUCUGAGAGGACCACCAGCCACACCGGGACUGAGACACGGCCCAGACUCUUACCGGAGGCAGCGUGGGGAAUUUUUGGACCAUGG
rnacentral:rRNA from 1 species